CGGGCACUUCAUGUUGAAACUGCGGUUUCCGUACUAUCGCCGAAGUUAAGCCACGUCGAGCUUGGCCAGUACGUAGAUGGGUAACUGCUUGUGAAUACCAAGUGCUGUAA